rnacentral:lncRNA from 1 species
ACGACCUUUUCCAAAUGGCACUGUUCCUCCUGGCCCUAUGCCAGUAGCACGGCCUCCACCCCCUCAAAAUGUUCCCUACCCACAAAUGCAGCUUGCCGGACAAUCACCUUGGCAGGGUCAGCCACAGCAUCUUGGACAACAAAUUCCACCUCCAGUCAUGCCUCCUCCUGCAAUGCAGUUCAGGCCACCUCUGCCAAACAUGCCACCACCCCCACCCCCACAAUCAGUAUCUGGUCUUUCAAGGCCUCCGCCACCAAUGGGAAUGGGAGCACCACAUGGUUGGCCGCAACAGCAAAUGGGUGGAAGGCCUCCUAUGCCCCAAAUGUCA